AUCUCCUUGAUCUUUUAGGGA
rnacentral:snRNA from 1 species